CCUGAGUACGACGGAGCACGUGAAAUUCCGUCGGAAUCUGGGAGGACCAUCUCCUAAGGCUAAAUACUCUCUAGUGACCGAUAGUGAACCAGUACCGUGAGGGAAAGGUGAAAAGUACCCCGGAAGGGGAGUGAAAGAGAACUUGAAACCGUGUGCUUACAAGUAGUCAGAGCCCGUUAAUGGGUGAUGGCGUGCCUUUUGUAGAAUGAACCGGCGAGUUACGAUCUGAUGCAAGGUUAAGCAGAAAAUGUGGAGCCGUAGCGAAAGCGAGUCUGAAUAGGGCGAAUGAGUAUUUGGUCGUAGACCCGAAACCAGGUGAUCUACCCUUGGUCAGGUUGAAGUUCAGGUAACACUGAAUGGAGGACCGAACCGACUUACGUUGAAAAGUGAGCGGAUGAACUGAGGGUAGCGGAGAAAUUCCAAUCGAACUUGGAGAUAGCUGGUUCUCUCCGAAAUAGCUUUAGGGCUAGCCUCAAGUGAUGAUUAUUGGAGGUAGAGCACUGUUUGGACGAGGGGCCCCUCUCGGGUUACCGAAUUCAGACAAACUCCGAAUGCCAAAUAAUUUAACUUGGGAGUCAGAAUGUGGGUGAUAAGGUCCAUAUUCGAAAGGGAAACAGCCCAGACCACCAGCUAAGGUCCCAAAAUAUAUGUUAAGUGGAAAAGGAUGUGGCGUUGCCCAGACAACUAGGAUGUUGGCUUAGAAGCAGCCAUCAUUUAAAGAGUGCGUAAUAGCUCACUAGUCGAGUGACACUGCGCCGAAAAUGUACCGGGGCUAAACAUAUUACCGAAGCUGUGGAUUGUCCUUUGGACAAUGGUAGGAGAGCGUUCUAAGGGCGUUGAAGCAUGAUCGCAAGGACAUGUGGAGCGCUUAGAAGUGAGAAUGCCGGUGUGAGUAGCGAAAGACGGGUGAGAAUCCCGUCCACCGAUUGACUAAGGUUUCCAGAGGAAGGCUCGUCCGCUCUGGGUUAGUCGGGUCCUAAGCUGAGGCCGACAGGCGUAGGCGAUGGAUAACAGGUUGAUAUUCCUGUACCACCAUUAUUCGUUUUAAGCGAUGGGGGGACGCAGUAGGAUAGGCGAAGCGUGCUGUUGGAGUGCACGUCCAAGCAGUGAGAUUGAGUGUUAGGCAAAUCCGGCACUCUUAAGAUUGAGCUGUGAUGGGGAGAGGAACUUGUUCCUCGAGUCGUUGAUUUCACACUGCCGAGAAAAGCCUCUAGCUAGAAUAACGGUGCCCGUACCGCAAACCGACACAGGUAGUCAAGAUGAGAAUUCUAAGGUGAGCGAGCGAACUCUCGUUAAGGAACUCGGCAAAAUGACCCCGUAACUUCGGGAGAAGGGGUGCUCUUUGAGGUUCACGCUUCGAAGAGCCGCAGUGAAUAGGCCCAAGCGACUGUUUAUCAAAAACACAGGUCUCUGCUAAACCGUAAGGUGACGUAUAGGGGCUGACGCCUGCCCGGUGCUGGAAGGUUAAGAGGAGUGGUUAGCGCAAGCGAAGCUACGAAUCGAAGCCCCAGUAAACGGCGGCCGUAACUAUAACGGUCCUAAGGUAGCGAAAUUCCUUGUCGGGUAAGUUCCGACCCGCACGAAAGGCGUAACGAUUUGGGCACUGUCUCAACGAGAGACUCGGUGAAAUCAUAGUACCGGUGAAGAUGCCGGUUACCCGCGACAGGACGGAAAGACCCCGUGGAGCUUUACUGUAGCCUGAUAUUGAAAUUCGGUACAGUUUGUACAGGAUAGGUAGGAGCCUUAGAAGCGUGAGCGCUAGCUUACGUGGAGGCAUUGGUGGGAUACUACCCUAAUUGUAUUGGAUUUCUAACCCGCAGCACUUAUCGUGCUGGGAGACAGUGUCAGGCGGGCAGUUUGACUGGGGCGGUCGCCUCCUAAAGAGUAACGGAGGCGCUCAAAGGUUCCCUCAGAAUGGUUGGAAAUCAUUCAUAGAGUGUAAAGGCAUAAGGGAGCUUGACUGCGAGACCUACAAGUCGAGCAGGGUCGAAAGACGGA
rnacentral:rRNA from 1 species